rnacentral:lncRNA from 1 species
UUCGAUACUUGGGAAUAGCAUAUCUUCAUAUUUUUAUUUUUAUGCUUACUAUUUUAUUUAAAUUUUUUAUAACUUCUUACAAUUUAUUUUACCAUUUUUGUACCUUUUUAUCUAGUCCUCCUUUUUUACGCUUGUUGAUUUUAUUCUUUCCGGUUUAAUUUUUAAUGUGUUGUACAUAAUUUGUUGAUUUAUUUAUUUAUUUUGUUCGGCUUACUUUU